CAUCUAAUACUAUUAGAAACACAAAAGGACAGAAAGAAAAUGAUUAAAAUUUGAGGUUUUCUCUCAAGUCCAGUAAUACUUCUUGAUUUUCUCUGUUCCCUUUCUCUUUCAUUCUCCGGCGUGAGUUCAACUACUGUUGGUCUUGAGUUUGGAUCCAUAAACGGCUAUUGGAUUGUCCCUACUUUUGACCCCCCCCCCCCCCCACUUUGAAUUAAUCGUUUGGUUCUGUGAUUUCCUAGUUGAUUCUCUAAUUGUUCGUGCUAGAUAUUAAAACUAUGCUUAUCAUGACUUGUCUUUAUAUGUUGUUUUCACUGUUAAGUUAGCGAUUUCUUGAGUAGGUUAUGUAGAAUUAUUAUAAAAUCUAUGCUCUCGAAUUUUAUUCUUAACAUUUGAUUAAUAAAAAUGCCUCUAUGCUAAGUGAUGUUCUUGUGGCUAAGCCUCUAUGACUAGUUAAAGUUAUCUCCAUGUUGAUUUUGUGUAUAGCUGGCCUCUGUUGGUAAAGUAGCCAUCGUUUGAGCUUUAUCAUGUUAGCUGAGCCAGCUAAAUCAUGUUCUAGAACUACCCUUUAUGUUUGUGUACCUAUAGAUUUACUUGGUCCUCCUACUUGUGAUAUUGUACAAUUUCUACAAAUAUUUUCCCUAAUGCCUACGUUGUUUAUCUGAUAACUAGUUGAUAAGUUUGUAGUUGAUAACUUGCCUAUUUUGCAUAUUCAGUGAUCCAUAUGUGGCUAUUAUUAGACCCUGUUAAAGCAUCAUUGAUCUAGAUCCUAUGUUGAUGAUGUUAUAUGUAGUUGUUGAGAUAAAAUUAGGUUGCUAAUAUAUUUCUUGAGAACACUAUUAAUACUUGCAAACACUAAGCCAUUUGAUACUUGCAAUGUUCUGCUGUUCUAAUUCAGUUCUUACUUUUCAUGCUAACUUGUUAGACACUAAAUAGUAGCGUGCUCAUGACAUUGUAGUAGAAUGAUCUCUAUUUACCCCCUACGAUGACUUAAAACCAUGCAAUGAGCCUUGUUAAUGUAUUAGGGAACUUGCAUUCAUGACUAAACAUAACUUGAUUAGGAUAAAACACUAUAGUGUGUACUGACACUUGCAUCUGGUUAAGUUCACAAACUAUCACAUGACUUUUGUUAAAGAUUGUAUGUUUGCACUUAUGUGUUACAAUUUUGACCUUACUAUGGUAAUACAUUGGUUUGAGUUUAUGAAUAUUGUUUGUCAAAAUGCUUGUCUCUGAUACUUAGAAUUAUUUUUUCUCAUGACUCCAAUUGUUAGGCUUAUCCAUGACUUCACACUAUCCUGAUUCCAAUAUAUUUGUCAUGUGUUGAGCUUUGUUGAGAUACUAUGCUAGUGAACCUGUUUAAAUGCCCAACUGUUAGCUCAGUAUAACCUGUUUGCCUUGAUAGGUUAAAGGGAAUGUUGUAUAGGGUAUGAUAUGAUAUGACGCAUGGCUGACUAAAAGGAGGACACAUGGAAUCUAAGAUGGAAUGGCUGAGGACCAAACGCAGCCACUGCAUUUGUCAUCGGAAUGGAUAACGUCCACAAAAGUGAAUUAAAUGCUAUGCACCCGGUAGCAUUUACUAAGGAAUAUUCUACAGCAUUAAGAGUGACAAUCUGUUACAAAGAAUAUGGCAUUUACGCUCAACGUUACAUCUUCAUCAAUGACCCUCAUAAUUGACAUUAAAAGGGGGCACGAUCCUAGGGCCUUCUUCCCUAGACAUAGCUAUAAAUAGUGAGCUCAGUUACCAUUGUAAGGGACACAAAAUUUCUUGCAAGAACACAUAUUAUAUUCUAUACUAAGCUUUAUACAAUUUCGCUCUCUUGCUUUUUG
rnacentral:lncRNA from 1 species